UCUACUCAAGAAUAUGGUAGUUACUCUCUGC
rnacentral:piRNA from 1 species